rnacentral:rRNA from 1 species
AGAGUUUGAUCCUGGCUCAGGAUGAACGCCGGCGGUGUGCCUAAUACAUGCAAGUCGUACGCACUGGCCCAACUGAUUGAUGGUGCUUGCACCUGAUUGACGAUGGAUCACCAGUGAGUGGCGGACGGGUGAGUAACACGUAGGUAACCUGCCUCGGAGCGGGGGAUAACAUAUGGAAACAGAUGCUAAUACCGCAUAACAACAAAAGCCACAUGGCUUUUGUUUGAAAGAUGGCUUUGGCUAUCACUCUGGGAUGGACCUGCGGUGCAUUAGCUAGUUGGUAAGGUAACGGCUUACCAAGGCAAUGAUGCAUAGCCGAGUUGAGAGACUGAUCGGCCACAAUGGAACUGAGACACGGUCCAUACUCCUACGGGAGGCAGCAGUAGGGAAUCUUCCACAAUGGGCGCAAGCCUGAUGGAGCAACACCGCGUGAGUGAAGAAGGGUUUCGGCUCGUAAAGCUCUGUUGUUGGAGAAGAACGUGCGUGAGAGUAACUGUUCACGCAGUGACGGUAUCCAACCAGAAAGUCACGGCUAACUACGUGCCAGCAGCCGCGGUAAUACGUAGGUGGCAAGCGUUAUCCGGAUUUAUUGGGCGUAAAGCGAGCGCAGGCGGUUGCUUAGGUCUGAUGUGAAAGCCUUCGGCUUAACCGAAGAAGUGCAUCGGAAACCGGGCGACUUGAGUGCAGAAGAGGACAGUGGAACUCCAUGUGUAGCGGUGGAAUGCGUAGAUAUAUGGAAGAACACCAGUGGCGAAGGCGGCUGUCUGGUCUGCAACUGACGCUGAGGCUCGAAAGCAUGGGUAGCGAACAGGAUUAGAUACCCUGGUAGUCCAUGCCGUAAACGAUGAAGGCUAGGUGUUGAAGGGUUUCCCCCCUUUCGUGCCGGAGCUAACGCAUUAACCACUCCGCCUGGGGAGUACGACCGCAAGGUUGAAACUCAAAGGAAUGACGGGGGCCCGCACAAAGCGGUGGAGCAUGUGGUUUAAUUCGAAGCUACGCGAAGAACCUUACCAGGUCUUGACAUCUUGCGCUAACCUUAGAGAUAAGGCGUUCCCUUCGGGGACGCAAUGACAGGUGGUGCAUGGUCGUCGUCAGCUCGUGUCGUGAGAUGUUGGGUUAAGUCCCGCAACGAGCGCGCCCCUUGUUGCUCGUUGCCUGC